rnacentral:rRNA from 1 species
AUUGAACGCUGGCGGCAGGCUUAACACUUGCAAGUCGAGCGGGGGAAGGUAGCUUGCUACUGGACCUAGCGGCGGACGGGUGAGUAAUGCUUAGGAAUCUGCCUAUUAGUGGGGGACAACAUCUCGAAAGGGAUGCUAAUACCGCAUACGUCCUACGGGAGAAAGCAGGGGAUCUUCGGACCUCGCGCUAAUAGAUGAGCCUAAGUCGGUUUAGCUAGUUGGUGGGGUAAAGGCCUACCAAGGCGACGAUCUGUAGCGGGUCUGAGAGGAUGAUCCGCCACACUGGGACUGAGACACGGCCCAGACUCCUACGGGAGGCAGCAGUGGGGAAUAUUGGACAAUGGGGGGAACCCUGAUCCAGCCAUGCCGCGUGUGUGAAGAAGGCCUUAUGGUUGUAAAGCACUUUAAGCGAGGAGGAGGCUACUUUAGUUAAUACCUAGAGAUAGUGGACGUUACUCGCAGAAUAAGCACCGGCUAACUCUGUGCCAGCCGCCGCGGUAA